UGCCCCAGAGAAAGACCCUUUGCAAAAACCAGGCAAUGGGCCAGAUCUGGCCUAUGGGCUGCAGUUUGCUGACCCCUGCUUUAGGGCCUGAAGCCACUCAGAUUUUGUACUUACUGUUACUGUAGCUAGUAUUAAUUACUCUGAUUCUUGGGAUCCAAUCCUCUCAGAGAAAGUGGUAGAAUAAAUUUUGCCUUUCCCAACUAUACACACAAAUGAGCUGGGGUUUUCUCUGUAUUACAGUGAUUAAAUCUUCCUUUAAAAUAAAGUUGAGUUAAAAGGUGAGCUAAGGUGACCCACUUAAAUUUUAAAAGUACAUUAGUAAUGGUUUGGGGAGAGGAAAGGUGGUAAAAAUCCUGAGGCCAGUAGGAUGCCAGCUAUGGACUGAGUUGUGUCCACUCAAAAUUCAUAGUUGAAGCCCUAAUCUCCAAGGUGACAGUAUUUGGAGAUGAGUCCUUUAGGAGCAUCUCAGUCCACUUGUAUUCCUAUGAUGAAAUACCUGGUUGGGUAAUUUUUUUUAUUUUUUUUAUUAUUUUUUUUUUUUUUGAGACAGAGUCUUGCUCUGUCGCCCAGGCUGGAGUGCAGUGGCAUGAUCUCGGCUCACUUCAACCUCAGUCUCCUGAGUUCAAGCAAUUCUCCUGUCUCAGCCUCCUGAGUAGCUGGGAUUACAGGCACCCACCACCGUGCUGGGCUAAUUUUAAUUUUUGUAUUUUUAGUAGAGACGGGGUUUCACUAUGAUGGCCAGGCUGGUCUUGUGUUCCUGAUCUCAAGUGAUCCACCCACCUCGGCCUCCCAAAGUGCUGGACUUACAGGCAUGAGCCACCGUGCCUGGCCCUGAUUGGAUAAUUGAUAUAGAACAGAAAUGUAUUUCUCACAGUUCUGGAGGCUGGGAAGCCCAAGAUCAAGGUGCCGGCAGGUUCAACACCUGGUAAGGGCUGCUCUCUGCUUCCAAGGUGACACUUUGUUGCUGCAUCCUCAGGAGCGGAUGAACACUGCGUCCUCAUGUGGCAGAAGAGAUGGAAUGAGAUGAACUCACUGCCUCCAGUGCUUCUAUCAGGGGCCUAAUCCCCACCGUGAGGGCUUCACUCUCAUAACUUCAUCACGUCCUGAAGGCCCUGCCUCUCAGAACUAUCACAUAUGUGAUCAAGUUUCAACAUGCAAACGUUGUGUGACACAAGCAGACAAUAGCGGAGGGGUAAUUAGGUUACAUGAGGCCAUGAGGGUGGGCUCUCAUGAUGGAAUUAGUGUCUUACAAGAAGAGGAGGAGAUCGAGAUCUCUCUCUCCACUGCACACAAGAGGGUGGCCGGCUGCAAGCCAAGAGAAGAUGCCUGGAAAUGAAACCUACCCUUCCAGCACCUUGCUGUUGGAAUUCCCAGCCUGCAGAACUGUGAGAAGUAAAUCUCUGUUGUUUAAGCCCCCGUCUGUGGUAAUGUGUCAUGGCAGGGUGAGUAGACGAAGACAACACCUAUCUGGGAAAAGCUGCCGAGGAGCUGAGAAGUCAGUGAGAGUUUUCUGUAGAGGAAAAUGGGGUAGAAAUAACUCACUUCUGGAAGCUUCAGUGUCAGAAGGAAGUGGGGCAGGGGGAGCAUCUUCUCAGCAGAAGCCCCUGGGUGCCCAGGCACCUGUAGGAACGAUGUUUCAUCAAAGGGGUUUCUAAGAGUCCCAGGUCAGGACACAGCAAUGAGAAAUAGCCAAUGGGCUCACCGACAUGUGAGCUGCCUCUGGUCUAAACAAACGAAAGCCAAACCAAACAAUGAGGUGCCCAAAUAAGCCUUAACUGGCUCCUAUCCCCUCUCAUAAACCAGCCCCAUUGGCUAGUUAAAAAGUCAGUCUCUUCAGGGCCUGGCAGUCUCUCAUUUGAGGCCUCCUACUUUGCUAUCGAUGUCCCUGUGUCUUGAAUUAGCUCAUCUCCUUCCUUUUCUGCUUUUCUGUCUUGGGCCUUCCCCAUCCCAAGCAUGGCCAUGUCCUGUCUGGUUAGGGUCCACCUUCUUGGCCCACAGCUCCGCCCUCCCAAAAGCAGUCCCUCUGUGGCCCACUUCCCAACUCUGUUCUGUCCUCAGUUCUGUAAACUGUGGCUCCGAUCAUCUGUCUUUGGGUUUUCCAUUCCCAGUUCAUUCCAGGGGUAAGCUGUUAGUGGAGAGUCCCCUGGCUUCUGCUCCUCAGCUUUAGGAAGUGCUGUGCAGACAUCAGCCCAUUUAUAAAUAUAGAUUUGACUCCUGCCUCCCAUCCCAGUUUAUGCUGAGCCUUUAACUUGAAAGCAAAACACACUUCUGUAGGCCCCACCCCAUUUCUGACCAGUCAGAUACUCCAGUGUUGGAACAGAGACUCCAUUUUGAGAAUGUUCUUGAGGAGAGUCUGAUGGGUAAGGCUGGUUAAAAACAGCUUGUGGUAGUUAAUUUUUUGUGUCAACUUGGCUGGGCCACAGGGUGCCCAGACAUUUGGUCAAACAUUAUUUUGGAUGUUUUCGUGAGGGUGUUUUUGGAUGAGAUUAGCAUUUAAAUCAGUAAACUGAGUCAAGCAGACUGCCCUCACUAAUGUGGGUGAGCCCCAUCCGAUCAGUUGAAGGCCUGCACAAAAGAAAGAAGCUGACCCUUCUCCCAUGGAAGAGACAAUCCCCCUUGCCUGGCUGCCUUCAAACCGGGACUUCAGUUUUUUCUUGACUUUGGACUCAAAUAGAAACCUUGGCUCUUCUGUGUUUUUGAACCUGCUGGCAUUUGGACUGAAACUACACCAUCGGCUGUCCUGGGACUCUGGCUUGCUGACUUGCUCUGCAGAUCUUGGGGCUUGGCAGCCUCCAUAAUCAUGUGAGUCAGUUCCUUAUUUUACACACAUGCCUGUGUACACACACACACACACUUGUGCACACACAUGCACCUUAUUGGUUCUAUUUCUUUGGGGACCCUGACUAAUACACAGCCCUUCUACUGGUCUUGUGUGUCUCUCAGAUUAGCUCAUUAGACUCACCUGGAGAGAUUUUUAAGACCCAGCAGCUUGUGGGCUCAGUCUAGUCUACAAAUAUUUGUUUGAUCAAAAUGGCUUUAAAAAAAUUUUUUUUUUCAAAUUUAGUGUAGGCAUAUGCUCUCGAGGAGUUUACCACCAGCCCUGCUAUUUAUUUCCUGUUGUCUUACCCCGACUGCUUCCUUGGUCCUGCACACUCCCUGCUUCCUAAAAGCACUUAUGACCCUUUUCCUAAGUAGCCUUGGUGACCAGCACUCCUUUUGACCAACAUUACCAUCUCACAAUGGGAAGGGCUAAAGAGAAUAGAAAAGAAAACAGGGUAGAUUGGAGGGGAAUGGAGGGAAGACCAGGGAAGGGGAACAGCCCCCACUGAGGUCUCUGGGGAAUGAAAUCUAUACCACAGUGGAGAGGUGGUUUGGAAGGAAGAAGCAAGGAGACCCUCAGUCAGCCUCCAUAACUGUGGUAUUGAAGUUGUUUCCAGGUUUCUGCUACACAUACACCUUUGCAUAUCUCUCUGAUUAUUUCCUGGAAUGCAUUUUACAUGUGGGAUGGCUACAUCAAAGAGUCAGAAAUAUUUUCAAGGUUCCUGAUGCAUAUUCUUAGACCUGAAGAGUCCUUGUAUGCUUCUGCUCACUUCCUUGGACCUCUGCCACUGUGUAUGAACAAACCCAGGCUAGCCUGCGGGGGGAUGAGAGACAACACGGAGCAAAUCUGGGUCAGUGGAUUCAUCUCAGACACAUGAACGAGCCCAGACAAGAUCAGCAGAACUGAUUUGCUGGCCUGGCAGUCAACUCCACAUGCAUAAUUGAGCUCAUCCUAGAACAGCUAGCCCCCAGCCAGUGAGCUAAAUAAACUCUUGUUAUUUAAAGCCCUGGUUUUUGGAGUGAUUUAUUACGCAGCAGUAGCUAACUGAUACAUCUUUGC